UAAUACUACUGUAAUAUUGAAUGUUAUGCAAUUUUUUAAUUAUUUUUUGUAGAACAUACACCCAUACGUCAUUCCUACUGUACAUGAGAUGAAGAUGGAUUACAUGGUUAUGUUUAAGCCAUAUAAAUAUGAGUUAAAGAAUAAAUUCCUAGAUGGAUUGAAGAAAGAUUUAGAAGGGGUAACUUCACUUACUUCAAACGGGGGCAUUAAUAAUGAUGGAGAUUUUGGUGGUAACCCUAUGGGAGUACGCAUUGGUGAUGAUGCUUCUCCGAGUACAUCAAAAGUUAUAGUGGGCACCUUUGCCAACGAAAAUUUGAAUAAUUGUGUUGCUGUUCUUGAGGAAAUUGUGUUAAAUAUUUCCACCUAUAUCAAAUAAAGACUGAAAAAGAAGAAAGGAAUGAGCAACAACAUGAGCAAGGUAACUUCAUUUAAUAAUUGAUAUAGUUAAUGAAUUUUCAGCUGUGAAUUUUACUAAAACUUUUUAAUAUGAUAUAGUGCAUGCGGACCUUCAUGAAGCAGAGAGUAAUGAGAAGGAAGGAAAAAAGUAAAAUGGAUGAAUUGGCCACUAUUGUGGUAGAAGAGGAAAAAGAAGGAUGAAGAAAAAGAAUCAGGAGAGAAAGAAGAAGAAAAUGAUAAGAAUGAAGAAGAAACUGAAAAAGAAGUAACAUCAGGUGAAGAAGAGAAAGGUGAGGAAAAAGAAGAAGCUGAGAAAUAAAAAGUAGUAGAAGUUGAGAAAGGAGAAUAAGAAGGUGAGAAAGAAAAAGGUGGAAAAAAUGUUGAAGAAUUAAUUAAAACAGCUAAAGAAGGAAAGGAAGAAGCAGCAGAAAAGAAAAGAACCUUGCAAAAAAAUGAAGAAUAGAAAGAAGAAAAAGAAGAAACGGACAAAGAAGAGACAAAACAAGAGAAGGAAGAGGAGAAAGAAGAAGAGAAGAAGGGGGAGAAGAAUAAAAUUCUCAUGAUGUGGUCAUGAAUAUCGUUAAGUACAUCAACGAUAACAUUUGUGAUGAUGAGAAAAAAGACAUUUGACUAUCAAUGUUUAUGUAUUUUUUUAUUUGAUAAAUAAAG
rnacentral:lncRNA from 1 species